GGUAAGGUGGCUGAGUAAGCGGUGGAUUGUAGCUCCAUAUACAGAGGUUUAAGCCCUCUUCUUAUCA
rnacentral:tRNA from 1 species